CAGUAGCCGCGGUAAUACGAAGGGGGCUAGCGUUGUUCGGAUUUACUGGGCGUAAAGCGCACGUAGGCGGAUCGAUCAGUCAGGGGUGAAAUCCCAGAGCUCAACUCCGGAACUGCCUUUGGUACUGUCGAUCUGGAGUAUGGAAGAGGUGAGUGGAAUUCCGAGUGUAGAGGUGAAAUUCGUAGAUAUUCGGAGGAACACCAGUGGCGAAGGCGGCUCACUGGUCCAUUACUGACGCUGAGGUGCGAAAGCGUGGGGAGCAAACAGGAUUAGAUACCCCGGUAGUCCCUGUAUCUUAUAC
rnacentral:rRNA from 1 species